AAUCGACCCCUUCGGUGUCGUAGCUAACGCGUUAAGUGUUCCGCCUGGGGAGUACGCACGCAAGUGUGAAACUCAAAGGAAUUGACGGGGGCCCGCACAAGCGGUGGAGUAUGUGGUUUAAUUCGAUGCAACGCGAAGAACCUUACCAGGGUUUGACAUCCUGCGAACCUUUAAGAAAUUAGAGGGUGCCUUCGGGAACGCAGUGACAGGUGGUGCAUGGCUGUCGUCAGCUCGUGUCGUGAGAUGUUGGGUUAAGUCCCGCAACGAGCGCAACCCACGUUUUUAGUUGCCAGCAUUUAGUUGGGCACUCUAGAAAGACCGCCGGUGAUAAACCGGAGGAAGGUGUGGAUGACGUCAAGUCAUCAUGCCCCUUACAUCCUGGGCUACACACGUACUACAAUGCUACGGACAAAGGGCAGCAAACUCGCGAGAGCUAGCAAAUCCCAUAAACCGUGGCUCAGUUCAGAUCGUAGGCUGCAACUCGCCUACGUGAAGUAGGAAUCGCUAGUAAUCGCAGGUCAGCAUACUGCGGUGAAUACGUUCCCGGGCCUUGUACACACCGCCCGUCACACCAUGGAAGUUGGCCACGCCCGAAGUCGUUACUUUAACCCUUGUGGAGAAGGACGCCGAAGGUGGGGCUGAUGACUGGGGUGAAGUCGUAACAAGGUAGCCGUACCGGAAGGUGCGGCUG
rnacentral:rRNA from 1 species